rnacentral:rRNA from 1 species
UCACUAAGCGGAGGAAAAGAAACUAACAAGGAUUCCCCUAGUAACGGCGAGUGAACAGGGAUUAGCCCAGCACCGAAGCCUGUGGCUAUUUAGUCACUAGGCAAUGUGGUGUUUAGGUCUGCUCUUGGUGAUUCGACCCCUCUCUAAGUCCAUCAAUGAGAAUGGCUAUUGUGAAUUGUCCCAAAGAGGGUGAGAGGCCCGUGAGGGAGGGGUUUGGGUUACCUUGGGUAGACCUUGGAGUCGGGUUGUUUGUGAAUGCAGCCCAAAGUGGGUGGUAAACUCCAUCCAAGGCUAAAUACUAACACGAGUCCGAUAGCGAACAAGUACCGUGAGGGAAAGUUGAAAAGUACUUUGAAGAGAGAGUAAACAGUGCGUGAAACCGCUCAGAGGUAAACGGGUGGAGUUGAACUGCAAGCUUUGAGAAUUUAACUGGUGAGCAUGGAAUACGCUUGGGUAUAUUGGUUGUCUAUAGUGGUUGCCAAAAGGUGACUGCGAAUAGUAUGGCGAACCUGCUCGUUGGUGCACUUUCUUGAAGUGAUCACCAUGACCAACGCUGUUGCCUUUCCGCUCUGGUUAAACCGUAUCUGUAUUGUCCUUGUGGCCUUAUGGGUUCGGGAUGGCAGGUAGCCUAUAUGAGCUGGUCUCAUAUAGGUGUAAUCAGCUGACCUUAGUGGCUUUGUGCGAUGCGCUGGAGACGGCGGCUUGUGGUGCGAACAUGCGUACCUGUUGGCCGGAUAGCUUGGGUCUGAUGAGUUAGUAGCCUGUAAAAGCAGGCCUGUUUGUGGCUCAAGCUUUCUCGGUUGAUGGUUGCGUGUGGGGCACUUUAAUGGGCCUACAGUCUGUGGUGUAGUGGUAGACGAUCCA